rnacentral:tRNA from 1 species
GCCUGUUGCUUCAGCAUCAUUGGUCUAGUGGUAGAAUUCGUCGUUGCCAUCGACGAGGCCCGUGUUCGAUUCACGGAUGAUGCACUAC